GACAUAGGUGGCAAGCGUUAUUCGGAAUUACUGGGCGUAAAGGGCGCGUAGGCGGAUAGUUUAGUCAGAGGUGAAAGCCCAGGGCUCAACCUUGGAAUUGCCUUUGAUACUGGCUGUCUUGAGUUCGGGAGAGGUGAGUGGAAUGCCGAGUGUAGAGGUGAAAUUCGUAGAUAUUCGGCGGAACACCAGUGGCGAAGGCGACUCACUGGCCCGAUACUGACGCUGAGGCGCGAAAGCGUGGGGAGCAAACAGG
rnacentral:rRNA from 1 species